CUUUCUGAGGCAUAAGCAGGCACAUGUCACCUGCAAAGAGGGAAGGGGUGGGUACUUGUGAGGAGUACAGCAUUGCCUUGCUUGGUCUGGACAUGCAUUUGGAAGAGUAGGGAGAUCAUUUAAGUCUCUAAGGAGACCCCCAAAUGGAAAGUUGCCCAGGUCUUUCUCAACUCCAAGAGUUCCCAGACAGGGAGAAUGGUGUGCUCCAUUUCACAAUGUUGGUAACUUACAAAACUGGAAUUCACACCUAAAUGUGUCAAGCUCCAGAGCCUAGACACAUUCUGCUGUUCAAUGUGGCUAAAUGGCAAGGAAAAGUCAUCCUGAGCAUGGGAUCCUGUACAAAUCAUCCUAAGCACAACCAUCUUCCCAGUGGGCCUCACUCCACAUGGCACCACAGCUAGGUGCCCCAGCCUGUCACGGGAUAGAGGCUGCACUCUGUCUGAUGCCCAUGUGUUUCCAAAGCAAAGGGGGACUCAGGCCUCUCUCCCUUGACCCCUCUGGGGCACAUCAGGGAGGGGCUGGCAGAUUGCUGAGGACCAUGAAUGGCAGGGUGGUGGGCCUUAGUGGCCCCAGAGCUUGCCCCAGGCUGUCCUGACAUCCACCACUCUCUGCAGGAAGGCCAAGAUGUCACUGGAGUGGCUAGGGGGCAGCACAGGGAUGAGUGUGUGUGUUGUGGGGGGGGUAAGGUGUGAGUGCGCCUGUGAGGGUAUACAUGAGGAGACUCCACAGAGGUGGCAGGAUGGGUCUGGGAGAGAAAGGAUAGGAGGAGACACUGAGGCAGUCGGUCUGCUCAGAGAGGCAGCAGUGCUGACCAGGGGGCUGUACAUGUCUCCGGCCCUAUUCUCUAAUGACCUCAGGACAGUAGCUGUCGCAUGUGGGGGUGACUGGACAGGAGGACCCCACCACCAGCAGCAAAAUCAUAACACCUGCCUUCAUCCCACCACAUUCUUCUUCAUUGACCUCCAAGGGCUCUACAGCUGCACAUGAGUGGAUAAAUGCCAAUUCCCCAGCUUGGAACCCAAGGAGUCAUGAGUCAGAACCAUCCAAUCCUCAGCUGUAUAAGAGGAUAAUAAUGCUGAAUUCGAGUCAUUGUGGGAAAUUGACUGAAACAAAUGAGCAACAUCUAACAGUGCUGAAGAGCAUCAUGGGCUUUCUCCUCCCUUCUUCCCUCUGGCACUGGUAUCUUCCCACUUGUCCUCCCAAGGCUUUGCCCGGUAAGGCUCUGUCCCAGGCUGUCUGCCCUUAUCCCCAUCUCUGAGGCACACCUCUUCUCACAGUAUGGCCCCAGAGAUGAGCCCAGCCCACCUGGCUGACCCUUUCCCUGUGUGCAGACUUCCCCAACCAGACCCCCAGGAUAACCACAGUGGGCCACCCUCUCCCCAACACCCUCCCUUCACUCCUGCACCUCUUCCUUGGUACUCUGCUUCUGCUUUUGCCAAGUGUUCUCACCUGAGGUGGACAGGUCUCUCUGUGCCACCCUCCUAUGAGCUCAUGAGGAGGGUGGGCCAAAGGUCAGGCUUAAUCUGCCUGCUCCUCCCCAGCCAGCACCACUCUGCAAACUUGGAAGGUCCCUAAGGAGCAGCUGCUCUACUUCUGCUGCCCAGAAGGGGCAUCCACCUGAAGAACGUGUGUGAUGGAUUGCCCUGCAGGUAACAGGGCUGCUCAGAGUCAGAUGCCUCUGGAGGUGUCUCCCACCUGGGGGAUGACCACCCCAUGGCCCUGUCACAGUGCACGUGCCCAAGCACCAGCUCCCCGCCUACCUUCCUGAUGCCUUCUGAAGGACUGGACACACAGUUGUCAGCCCCUCCGUUCUUGCUGAUGGUCCGCCAGAGUUCGGCAAACGUGCUGUCCUGCUCCAGAGGGUUGGUGCCCUUGGCUCGGAAGUACUCAUAUACAGCAGAAUCCCGGACGGUGCCAUAAGACAUCUCCACUUGUUUGGACAAGUCCUGGAAAGUCC